rnacentral:rRNA from 1 species
AGACUCUAGCCUGCCAGUUUCCAAUGCAGUUCCCAGGUUGAGCCCGGGGAUUUCACAUCCGACUUGACAGACCGCCUGCGUGCGCUUUACGCCCAGUAAUUCCGAUUAACGCUUGCACCCUCCGUAUUACCGCGGCUGCUGGCACGGAGUUAGCCGGUGCUUCUUCUGCGGGUAACGUCAAUCCCCGAGGUUAUUAACCUCACCGCCUUCCUCCCCGAUGAAAGUGCUUUACAACCCGAAGGCCUUCUUCACACACGCGGCAUGGCUGCAUCAGGCUUGCGCCCAUUGUGCAAUAUUCCCCACUGCUGCCUCCCGUAGGAGUCUGGACCGUGUCUCAGUUCCAGUGUGGCUGGUCAUCCUCUCAGACCAGCUAGGGAUCGUCGCCUAGGUGAGCCGUUACCCCACCUACUAGCUAAUCCCAUCUGGGCACAUCUGAUGGCAUGAGGCCCGAAGGUCCCCCACUUUGGUCUUGCGAC